rnacentral:misc_RNA from 1 species
AAAGCACACAUUGAGAAGCACAGGUGCUUUGUUACUGUUCAUUCAGGGUACACUUGAUUGUGAAAUAUGCAUUUUAAUAAAAAUUUUGAAAAUACAAUUUCAUUUGCAUGUCAUACUGCACAAGUUUACGUACUCCAGUGGGAAUUCCACACCACACCACUUAGGCGCUUACAACUAUGACUUGCUAUCUUCCUAGAGCUAAAGGCUGCUCAUUUGCUAUAGGUGCCCUGACUGUGCACCUGGGAUAGUCUUCUUGAGGAGAUUAGCUACCACCUUUCCUUGUGGUGAAUAAGCCAUGAUUCCAGUUUAAGCUUCUUUCUGUACCUAGAAUUUCAAUGGGAUAAAGUGUAUUCCAUCAGCAAGUACUCUUAUUUGAUCUGACAUGGUACCUUGUGUGGCAUCAGCCUGAUCCUAGAGAGAGAGAGAUAUUUUUUCCCUUUGGGUUGUUUUUUGUUUUGG